rnacentral:rRNA from 1 species
AACGAACGCUGGCGGCAGGCUUAACACAUGCAAGUCGAGCGCGUAGCAAUACGAGCGGCAGACGGGUGAGUAACGCGUGGGAAUCUACCGUACCCUAUGGAAUAGCUCCGGGAAACUGGAAGUAAUACCAUAUACGCCCGAAAGGGGAAAGAUUUAUCGGGGUAUGAUGAGCCCGCGUUGGAUUAGCUAGUUGGUGGGGUAAAGGCCUACCAAGGCGACGAUCCAUAGCUGGUCUGAGAGGAUGAUCAGCCACAUUGGGACUGAGACACGGCCCAAACUCCUACGGGAGGCAGCAGUGGGGAAUAUUGGACAAUGGGCGCAAGCCUGAUCCAGCCAUGCCGCGUGAGUGAUGAAGGUCUUAGGAUUGUAAAGCUCUUUCACCGAUGAAGAUAAUGACGGUAGUCGGAGAAGAAGCCCCGGCAAACUUCGUGCCAGCAGCCGCGGUAACAC